UACAGAGGUCUCGAGCGUUGUUCGGAUUCAUUGGGCGUAAAGGGCGCGUAGGCGGCGGGGUAAGUCUGGUGUGAAAUCUCGGAGCUCAACUCCGAAAUUGCACUGGAUACUGCCGGGCUCGAAUCCGGAAGAGGCGAGUGGAAUUCCUGGUGUAGCGGUGGAAUGCGCAGAUAUCAGGAGGAACACCAAUAGCGAAGGCAGCUCGCUGGGACGGUAUUGACGCUAAGGCGCGAAAGCGUGGGGAGCAAACAGG
rnacentral:rRNA from 1 species